GGAACACGGGGCAGAGAGCAUGAAAGCACAUGUAUUAUAGGAAAAGCCAAAGAAGAAAAAAAAAUACAACAAAAUAGUAAGAGCUUCCCUCUGUAGAAGGAUUAUGAGUGUUUACCUUUUUCUUCUUUGUGCUUUUUUCACAUUUCACAUUUCCUAAUCUUCUACAAUGAACAUGUAAACAAGAAAAUUGAGAGAGAGAGAGAGAGAGAGAUCAAAGGGAUUCGGCAACUGAAAUGGAGACAACUCCAGGGAAGCAACACAACUACUGUCACUUAAAAGCGAAUCUUUGCUGCUGCCUCAGGUACCACAAAGGAAUGCAGAGAUGACCAUGGUGUAGUUUCUACCCACAAGAGUGAAUGAUCUGGUCUAUAGAGGAAGUGGUCCACAAAUAACUGGCAAGACCACAGCAUGAAGUGCACCCUAGUGAAGUACGCACUGUAAUGAAGUACGUGUCGAAUCAGCCGUAAGGGAAGCUAACUGGAGGCAAGGGAAAUCUGCAGAGAGCAAGGGGAUUCAGGCUGGAUCCUAAGACUAUAUAGCAUUUCUCCAGGCCUAGGAGGGAAAGGCACUCCUGGGAAAGGGAAGAGGUGUGAAAAGUUGAAAAGAAGUGCAAAGGUCAUUGUGUAUUUGGUGAGCAGGCUGCAGACUGGCA
rnacentral:lncRNA from 1 species